UCUUCUCUGCCAACCCUCGCUACUUGCCCGCCCUAAGAAACGCAACCACAAACCACUAAUUCCUAAUCUCCUCAAGCUUCGCCUUCACAAGCUCAUUCUCCCUAACAAUCUCCCUCUCAAACCUCCCCCUUCCCCUUCAUCACCUCCGCCAGCGAAAGCCUCCCCUCUUUACCCCCCAUACCCAACACAAGCCACCUCUCACCGAGCACUAUCCACAGUUGCUUCCACUUGAUAAUAUCCCCAUCACUGUAAUUUGAAGCCUCGUUCUUCGCCCACAGAUCGACUGCCGCUCAAUCUGGUGCUCGACGAUCAAUCAGCGUCUGGAGCGUCUUUAUAUCCCAUCCCAGACGACCUUGCUCCCAGGAAACCUAAGCGACACCUCCUUCUUUAUGAUCGUAGCGUGAACACAGAGAGUCAGAACCAUAUUCAUCAAGCAUGUCUUCAAAUAAAUUGAAGGGGUCGACAUUUUGGAUUUCUUCAAAAUCAAUAAGAUCUUCCUCCUCUAAAUCUUGGAGGGGCCAGUGCUGUACCUUUUGAAGAAACGGUUACAUCAGACUGAAUCAGAAAGAGGCCUUAUUCUAUUUAAGUAUCUGUCAAAUGAAGAUGGUGUAAUGUUAUUACGCAACUUGGUGGAAAUGAGAAGCACAAAGGUUAAAUAUUUGAAACAUCAUGAUGGGACUUACCAGUGCAAGCAAAAAGUUUCUAAUAGUAGUCAAAUUGUGAAUGUGCUGGUCAAAUGCAGGAGACUGGAGGGACAUUGCUCUAGUGUGUUGAAAACUCAUGACUUUGUUAUAUGUGAAUCUUCUGAUUGGAAAGUUACAUAUGAUGAUAAAUAAAGAUGCUCUGAGGGCUACAUUCUCAGAAGAAAUAUUUCAGAAGAUCACUGGAGUUGGUGAAUCGGGUUGCGUUCCAUGCAAAUCUUGGAUGAUUAAACCCGGGUCGCGGUUGGCUAUAGCGUCCCACGUUCCCGACUUCUAUGAGCGGAGGCACUGCACCAAUCCAGAUGGAUGCAAUUUUUUUUUAUAAAAAGCAGUGUUGGUGGGAGCCAGGGAAAUUAGGGAGGUACUGAGUCGCAACAAUUAAGAGACAGUUGAGCACAGUUUUAGUGUUUGAGAAGAUUAUAGCUGUGGAGUGAGCUGCAGCAGCAGAGCUGAAGCCUUGUUCUUGCAGCUACAGUCUCCUGUAAACUUGAUGCACUUCACCAUGAGUUAGCAUAUGCUCGUGUGAAUGAGACCGCAGUUGAUGCUAGGACUGCCUCCCAUCAUGGAAAAUGUUUUGAGUUGCAGAACGUAGUUGCAUGGGUGCAGAAAUGGAUAUUGAUAGAAAACAGUCGAGAAAAGAUGACCAAUCGCCUUGAAUUUUUCUCAGGUAGAAGAUAGUAGUUCUGUGUAGCACCCAGAGCUGCGAGAAUCAAGAUGCUGAUUUAUCUGAAAGUUGACAUAAAGCUCACAAUUUAAAAACUGAAACUUGCAGAAUAGGGAUUCCGUGCAUAACUAUAAUGUCUGAAGGCUCCCAUGACAAAACUUUUCCGAAGUUAGCAGCGUCAUCAUCCAGCGGCGUACUACUAAUUAGAGCAUCAACUGCUUCACGUAAGUAAUUUCCUGCUUGUAUAGUUUAGGCGUGUUCUCAUCUCGAUAUGGCAUUUUUUUAGAGGCCUAUGCGGCUUUCCCCUUGAAUGUAGUCCAGUGAUCAAAAUAAGUACAGAAGACUAAUGAAAGGAAUGGGAAGUUGAAGAAGCUUGCUAACUUGUUUCAUUCAUUCUUUUCUAGAAAGUUAAUUUAUUUGUAUUGGCUUCGUCGGGCUGUAUUUAUCUUCUGUAUGCCGAUGAUUCAACUAAAAAUACAUCCUUGUUUGUUUUCUGCACAGCAGAUUUUAAAUGAUCUCCUAUGGAUGGA